USGGSSYKGCYUWWMMMAUGSMARGUCCRAACGGAGGUCUUCGGACCUUAGUGGCGGACGGGUGAGUAACGCGUGAGAAUCUGCCCUUUGGAUGGGGAUAACGACUGGAAACGGUCGCUAAUACCCAAUAUGCCGAGAGGUGAAACUUAUAUGGCCAGAGGAUGAGCUCGCGUCUGAUUAGCUAGUUGGAGUGGUAACGGCACACCAAGGCGACGAUCAGUAGCUGGUCUGAGAGGAUGAUCAGCCACACUGGGACUGAGACACGGCCCAGACUCCUACGGGAGGCAGCAGUGGGGAAUUUUCCGCAAUGGGCGAAAGCCUGACGGAGCAAGACCGCGUGAGGGAGGAAGGCCUACUGGUUGUAAACCUCUUUUGAUAGGGAAGAAGAAAGUGACGGUACCUAUCGAAUCAGCAUCGGCUAACUCCGUGCCAGCAGCCGCGGUAAUACGGAGGAUGCAAGCGUUAUCCGGAAUUAUUGGGCGUAAAGCGUCCGUAGGUGGUUAUUCAAGUCAGCUGUCAAAGGAUGGAGCUUAACUCCAUAAAGGCAGUUGAAACUGUGUAGCUAGAGUGCGAUAGGGGCAAGGGGAAUUCCCAGUGUAGCGGUGAAAUGCGUAGAUAUUGGGAAGAACAUCGGUGGCGAAAGCGCCUUGCUGGGUCUGCACUGACACUGARGGACGAAAGCUARGGGGAGCGAAWGGGAUUAGAUACCCCUGUARUCUUAGCUGUAAACGAUGGGAUACUAGGCGUUUGUCCGUAUCGACCCCAGCCGUGSKGAARCCAAAAAAA
rnacentral:rRNA from 1 species